rnacentral:rRNA from 1 species
CAGUAGCCACGGUAAUACGAAGGGGGCUAGCGUUGUUCGGAUUUACUGGGCGUAAAGCGCACGUAGGCGGAUCGAUCAGUCAGGGGUGAAAUCCCAGAGCUCAACUCUGGAACUGCCUUUGAUACUGUCGAUCUGGAGUAUGGAAGAGGUGAGUGGAAUUCCGAGUGUAGAGGUGAAAUUCGUAGAUAUUCGGAGGAACACCAGUGGCGAAGGCGGCUCACUGGUCCAUUACCGACGCUGAGGUGCGAAAGCGUGGGGAGCAAACAGGAUUAGAUACCCGAGUAGUCCCUGUCUCUUAUAC